ACGAGCAGGCAGCAUGAGCAACGUUUCAAAACUAAUGCGCGUAUCUCAGGACUGAAGAUUACAACAACAAUCUGACAUGCAACAGUGAAUGUAUCACGUGUAACCGGUGCUGUCAUCUCUCAUUGUUUAAUAAGUCUAGUUUGUAGUUCUUGCUGAUUUUAGUGUUUGUUCGCUCCUGUUUCAUUUCAAACCGUGUCCAGUGCGACGAGUGGUAGAAACGAAAAAUGUGAAGAGUGAAGCGGAGGAACAUAGCCUGCUGCAUAGUCAGGACCGGGAACUCAAGUGAUAUCUGAGGGAGUAUUAUGAAAAAGAGAAUGCAAAAGAUUGUCACAUCCUAAUUCCUGAUGAUCAAGACCCAGAGGAAGCAGCAGCUUUGAAAGUACCGGAUUUAUUUGAAAACCCGAAGGAGCUGCAGUUGUCUGGAUUUCCUGUGGCUGCUGACACUGAUUAUUAAACUCUCACAUGAAGUGAAUCGACAAAGGAUUUAUUUGAAAACCCGAAGGAGCUGCAGUUCUCUGGAGUUCCUGUGGCUGCUGACACUAAUUAUUAAACUCUGACACGAAGUGAAUCGACAAAGGUAAGUAGCAUUGUUUCUUCUAUAAUGAACUAAUAAAUACGCAUUUGGGGAUAUUUUCAUGGCCUUACGACUUAUGUGGAUGAUUAGUGGUUAUGAAGCAGACCAUUUUUUUGUACAGUUAGUGAGAAAUCAUGUAAAUAUUGUCACAGUUCGCCU